UACGUAGGGGGCAAGCGUUGUCCGGAAUCAUUGGGCGUAAAGAGCGUGUAGGCGGCUCGGUAAGUCCGCUGUGAAAGUCCAGGGCUCAACCCUGGAAUGCCGGUGGAAACUGUCGAGCUAGAGUCCGGAAGAGGCGAGUGGAAUUCCUGGUGUAGCGGUGAAAUGCGCAGAUAUCAAGCGGAACACCAGUGGCGAAGGCGAGUCCCUGGACAACUCCUGACACUGAGGCACGAAAGCUAGGGGAGCAAACAGG
rnacentral:rRNA from 1 species